UGCUCUGACCACAGGUGUUAGAAGUAAACAGGGCCACCCGACAGACAGAAGCAAGACAACCCCCGGAAGGACAAGAGGAAGACAGUCAUUGUGUCCAGGAGAGCGGCUAGAAGCCGUUGGGCCACCUCUCUGGGGAGUCCAGAGAGGUUAGUGAGAUCCUUGAUCCUCACCAGCAGUUACCCAGGCACACGCAGGCCACGUGGAGAGGGGAGGGAACUGAUUUUAAAAACAAACAGAGCAAGUCUGGAGAGAGAAGUUGGAGCAGCAGAGAUGGUAUCCCCUGGGUUAGUGCCCGCUGGGCAUUGUGAGUUUUAGCAGAAGUCGCAGAGCCGAGCUGUCGAUUAGGAGGAAGGAAGCCCCUGGCACAAGCAAGUCAGCCAGGCCUACAACCUACAGGGGACAGAGAAGAGGGAGAGCAGCGUCAGAACCUGAGCCCACAGGGAGCUGGCACCAAGGGCAGCAGACAGGAGAUCAUCCUCCCUGCAGAGAAAGGGACACCUCCAACUCCACCCCUCAGGCUGGGAGCAGGGCUGAUGGAGGCCAAGACGCGCUUCAUGCCUUCCCCGCUUCCGAUCUGCCAGAUCAAGGCCUCUGCAGGGACGCUAACGACUUGCGCUGUCCGACGUGGGGACCACGUGCCACCUGGGGCUGCUGAAACGUGGACUGAGAUGUGCUGUCGAUGUAAAAUACACACUGGAUCCUGAAGCCUUAGUAGGAAAAGGAAUAUAAACUAUCUCCUUAAUUUUUUAUAUUGAUUACACGCUGAAACGAUGACAUUUUAAAACUAACUUUGCUUGUUUUUUAACGUGGCUACUAGAACACUCGGCUCACACUGCACUCCUCACUUGGCCCCCAGCUGUGUGGGGGGCAUUAGAGGCUGGCCGGAUGCCCUGGCCUCCCAGAGUGGGAGGGACGGUUCUGUUAGGUCCGGUGAGU